rnacentral:lncRNA from 1 species
CAUCCGCUUUUGAUUCAAUCUGUAGGGACAAAUUAUGGCAAAAACUAUAUGAAACAGAUAUUGAUAGACGACUUCUCAAAAUACUUAGAGAGUUACAUUCAGACACCACAGUUAAAAUCAGAACUGGGAUGUCAGGCAACUAUACUGACCCACUGCCACUGGGGAAAGGGGUUAAACAGGGCUGUUUGUUAGCGCCGUUCCUCUUUAAUUUCUAUAUAAAUGACAUUGUUCAACAUAUGGCAAAGUAUAACUCAUCAGCUCCUGCCCUGGAAGGCAAACACCUGAAUAUAUUACUAUAUGCUGAUGACAUGGCUGUCAUGGCACUUACUCGAAGGGGCCUACAUAGCAUGCUGGAGGGGCUCGCAGCUUAUUGUUCCCAAAAUUCUCUAAAGAUAAAUUAUGACAAAACAAAAAUUGUGGUAUUCACUAGAGCUCGCCACACAUUUAGAUGGUCUUUAGAUGAACACAAAAUUGAACAGUGUCUUUCUUUUAAAUAUCUUGGUAUCACUUUCCAAGCUACAUCUAGCUGGCUUGCCCACUUCAAGACUGUAGCCCUUCUAACACGUAGGACAAUCGGUGCUUUGCUCAGCUUUUUUAUUCGAGGGAGGUCAACUGGUGAUCCCGGCAUUAAAAGCUUUUGUUGGAAAAGUGAUUCCCCAGAUGCUAUAUGGAGUAGAACUCUGGGGAUGGAAUCAGAAGCUGUUAGAACGGCUUGAAAUCUUCCAAAAUUUUUACCUCAGAAGAAUUCUAGGCCUCCCUCAGAGUACUCCGGCAGCUCUCCUAAGAGUGGAAGUAGGAUUACCUUCUGUGUCUGCCAGGGCCCACUUAAGAUUCCUGCGUUUUUUCAUCAACCUCACAGAUGCCCCGAACACCUUAUUGGCUAAACAAGCCUUUGUAUCAGUACAAAAUAAUACUACUUGGUAUAAAAACCUACUAGAUAUCCUAUCCAGAUACAAUCUACCUGAGUUUAAUACCCUUAAAUUGUGGAGCCCUGAUAAAGUUCGGGAAUGGAUCUUUGAAAAAGACGCCUUUUUAGACUCCACAAAGAUAAAAACUCUGGGUUUUCCUACUGGUUUCCCGAGUAAAAGCAGUCAAAAUCUGUGCCAACUACUUGGUGGAGAUCACUGAUCCCACCCUUCGGAGAGCUUUCACUAUGGCACGGUUUCAAACACUGCCAACUGCAUAUCUGACCGGUAGAUUCACAAAAACCCCAGUAGAACAUCGUUUAUGCCCUUGCCUAAUGAAAAUUAAAGAGGAUCUUACACAUUACCUCCUCUAUUGCCCCAUCUACUCGGGCUUUAGAGACGCAUUGCUGCAAAUUAUACCCAACUCUAUAACCAAUCCUGAAGAUAGAGUAAAAUUUUUGUUAGUUGAUGCAAACCCACGUAUUACCCAUGUGGUAGCGGUUUUUGUGAUGAAGGCCAUGAAAGCCAGGGAAAGACUUAUGGAUGACAAUGUAAAGACCCCUUCAUCGUCUGUUUAACUCGUUGCUCGUUUUCCCUCUCUUUCUAUUUUGUGGGAUGAAGGUUUUGUUGGCGUAGUAUGUAAUGAAUUUUAAUAUUUUUUUUUAACUAUUGUUAUGUUAAUGUUUGUGUACAGGCAUGGUCCUCACAAUAAACGGAUUUGAUU